AGAGGUAUCGCAUUACUAUGGGUUGUAUAAUUCUCUAUAUAUAUGGCUCUGCCUCUGCACUAUCUUCAAACCAUCACUCAAAGAUAGAUUAAACAAAACAGAUUUCCUACUAAUUACGAAGCCCUACUAAAUUAUUACAUAUAAAGCUAGCGAAAAAUGGCUCUUGCUAUGCCUAACAACAAAGUGGCCAUGCUUCUCGUGCUCUGUCUUUUUCUCAUCGUCUGCUCCUCUGAAAGCAGACAACUCGGUACUGGGAAUGGCAAACCGAGCUGCGACGCUGUUUAUGCGGUACAACCUGAUGAUUCUUGCAGAAGCGUGAUUUCGGAUUUCGGUCUGGAUUCUGACGACUUCUUUUCAAUCAAUCCCAACAUCAACUGCGAUGCUAUCUUUGUCGAUCAAUGGCUUUGUAUCGAGGGCUCAGCAUAGUACAUAUAUGCUGCCGCAGCUUGCAGGAGGACUCGAGUUCAAGCAAAGAUUUAAUAAAACUGAGUAAUAAACAGAACAAAGGAUCUUCGUAAUUAACAUUGUCAGAGGACAUUGUUCUUGCUGUUAUGUUAUUUGAGUAUGGAAUAAUACGGUUGACAGUGCUAGCAUGUCAAGAUUGUUAGCCAAGUCAGUACGUAACAAUGUAGCUCAUUAAGUUUUUUACGUAUUCUCUCGCUUUCUCUCA